ACGGGUCUUUAUUCACCAACGUUUGCCAGGAAUAACAAAAUAAAUAGGUCCCCUUGUGCCAUUUUCAGCAUGCCAGCUGAUUGCACAGUGUUCUGGGAUAGAUCAUUGCCCACCCCAAUCCUUUUUGUCCUGCUCUGUUGCAUAUACCAUACCCAUUCUGUUUUGGAAACACAGAGCAAGCACAGAACUGGCAUGUGAUCUGAACAGUCAGAGCAAGAUAAUUGCUUGAGGUUUAUUUGCACAGCUACUGACCUCUGCUUCACCCAGUACAGGAGGAUUAACAGCGGAAUGGCAGACAGUGCUUCUACGGCUAGGGAAUUCAAUGUAAGUUCAAGACAACUGCUGAAAACCUCAGGAACAGAGAAGACGCCUGCCUGCAGCUAUCAAUAUAGCAUGAAACUGCUCCCUAGAGAUCGCAUAUUCCACCACAGACAGGCUGAGGUAAUGGCAGACAGGAAGUCUGAGAGCUGCUUUUUACCUACUGUCAUGGCAGGGCUGUGCUCUUUGCUUCAGGAGGAGCCAUACUAAGCAGUAAGGCUUUGGUCAUUCAUUAACGCAAAGACUCUGGAAAGAGAAAGUGCCAGCAAUGUUCGAAGCUCAGGGACUCACCAGCUGCUUCAACAGCUAAUGACUUAUAAGACACCUUGUGACAAAUGUAAUGCUCAUAUUGUAAUGAAAGUAUUAAAAUUAUGAUAAUACAACACACUGCCGUGGAUGAAGAAUAAUCCUUU